rnacentral:rRNA from 1 species
UACAGAGGGUGCGAGCGUUGUUCGGAAUUAUUGGGCGUAAAGGGCGCGUAGGCGGCGCCACAAGUCACUUGUGAAAACUCUGGGCUCAACUCAGAGCCUGCAAGCGAAACUGUGGUGCUGGAGUAUGGGAGAGGUGCGUGGAAUUCCCGGUGUAGCGGUGAAACGCGUAGAUAUCGGGAGGAACACCUGUGGCGAAAGCGGCGCACUGGACCAUAACUGACGCUGAGGCGCGAAAGCUAGGGGAGCAAACAGG